rnacentral:lncRNA from 1 species
GCAGAGCGGCGUGACGCGACUCGCAUCGCUCCGUCCCGAGGCCGUGCUGCCGGGCAGCGCUAUUUCAGCGCUUCAAAGGCAAAGGUUGAAGCCAGGCCGCGUCCUCACACGUAAACCAAAGCCAGCGCUGCGCCGACACGUGCCGCGCGUUACUCUAAAGCAGAGGGCUAUAAAUAGCGCUCCCGGAAGUGCCCAAAAGCAGCACGUGUGCAGCGGCCCGACGCCGGCUGUGUGCACAGUGCGGGCGCUCGCAGCGCGCUGCAGCACCGCCUCCCCCAGCAGCAGAAGCCGGCGGUUUCCAGCUGUGUGCCGUUGCUCCGCUAUUCUGUCUGUGUGCGUUUGCACGGGGAACGUCGGGCCCUGAAAUCUGCGGAUGCGUACCUGCAACCGCCAGAAAUAUUUCCUAUCCUGCAUGGAAUUUCCUUUCCAAAGAGCCAUCAGUGGAGAUGCAGGAGGGCUCGUUUCGUUCUGCCCGAAGGGGGAAUGCUGCUGCACGACUCUUCUGCGCUGAAACUGAGAGUCCUGCUAUCUGGAAGGGAACAUCCUUGUUGCUGCCAGGAGCUGCCACAGAGCAGUCCAGCCCCAAAGCCUGCCGUGCAGACACAGUGUCUGUGGUUGAAGAAGAGACCUCCUGGAUGUCAGGUUUCAUCCUCCCAUCAGUUACUACCCCGACAGCAGAACUCGUUCUGUUGGAGGUGCAUGCAAAGUUGGCUCAGUAUUAUCCCCCAAAGCUACGUAGCCCUUAUUUAAAGCUUUCUACAGCUGGUUUGUCAGUGUGGGCUGUCGGAGGUCACCACCACUUGUCUGUCAGUGUCCUGCUCUGCACCGCCUGCUCCUGAGCUGAAGCUUGGCCAGACGAGCUGCAGCAGACCUGCUUCCAGCAGCACAGCCGCCUCAGUGCUGGAAGCGACCAGCAGAAAGGCAGUGGGUGAGACACAGAUGUGCUCUGACAUCUGAAACCGCAAGGAAGGGAAGUCAAGUUGACACAAAUAGCAGAGCUCUGAACUGCUGCCUGAGGUGGCGACACACGUCGUGCCCUGCCACGCUCGCCAGACAGGCGGCAGCCUUGCUGGAAGGGCAGGAUGAUAACUGAGAGCAUUCAAGCUUUGAAUUGUGGUAACAGUCUCUCCUGCGCAGUGAAGGGCCUUUGUACAAUUUGCUAUAUGCUAAAAUGGGGCAUGGGAUGGGAUCCCACCUAGAAUCAUAGAAUCAUAGAAUGGCCCGGGUUGGAAGGGACCUCCAGGAUCACAAAGCUCCAACCCCCCGCCGCAUGCAGGGCCACCAACGUCCACAUCUAAUACCAGCCCAGGCUGCCCAGGGCCCCAUCCAACCUGGCCUUGAACACCUCCAGGGAUGGAGCAUCCACAGCCUCUCUGGGCAGCUGUUCCAGCAGCUCACCACACUCAUAGGAAAGAACUUCCCCUUGGUAGUUCACCUUU